AGUUAAAUUUCUUAGAAAAGAUUUAUGAAUUGAAAUCAUAAAAAAGAAGUUCAAUUCUUCUAUUAACUU
rnacentral:tRNA from 2 species